rnacentral:rRNA from 1 species
CCUACGGGAGGCAGCAGUGGGGAAUAUUGCGCAAUGGGCGAAAGCCUGACGCAGCCACGCCGCGUGAGCGAUGAAGGCCUUCGGGUCGUAAAGCUCUGUGGGGAGAGAAGAAUAAAGCCUGUGAAGAGCGGGCCUUGACGGUAUCUCCUUAGCAAGCACCGGCUAACUCCGUGCCAGCAGCCGCGGUAAU